UACGUAGGGUGCAAGCGUUGUCCGGAAUUAUUGGGCGUAAAGAGCGUGUAGGCGGCCCGAUUAGUCCGCUGUGAAAAGUCCAGGGCUCAACCCUGGAAUGCCGGUGGAUACUGUCGGGCUAGAGUCCGGAAGGGGCGAGUGGAAUUCCUGGUGUAGCGGUGAAAUGCGCAGAUAUCAGGAGGAACACCAAUGGCGAAGGCAGCUCGCUGGGACGUGACUGACGCUGAGACGCGAAAGCGUGGGGAGCAAACAGG
rnacentral:rRNA from 1 species